CAGGUCACUCCUACGGGAGGCAGCAGUGGGGAAUUUUUCGCAAUGGGGGAAACCCUGACGAAGCAACGCCGCGUGGAGGAUGAAGGCCUUCGGGUCGUAAACUCCUGUCGACCGGGACGAACGUAGUCGGGUCCAAUACAUCCGGCUAUCGACUGUACCGGUAAAGGAAGCCACGGCUAACUCUGUGCCAGCAGCCGCGGUAAUACAGAGGUGGCAAGCGUUGUUCGGAAUUACUGGGCGUAAAGGGCGCGUAGGCGGUUCGAUAAGUCCCGUGUGAAAUCCCUCGGCUCAACUGAGGAAUGGCACGGGAAACUGACGGGCUUGAGUUCGGGAGAGGGAAGCGGAAUUCCGGGUGUAGCGGUGAAAUGCGUAGAUAUCCGGAGGAACACCGGUGGCGAAGGCGGCUUCCUGGACCGACACUGACGCUGAGGCGCGAAAGCUAGGGGAGCAAACGGGAUUAGAUACCCUGGUAGUCCACGCUGUAAACGAUGAGCACUAGGUGUCGUGGGUAUUGACCCCCGCGGUGCCGUAGCUAACGCAUUAAGUGCUCCGCCUGGGGACUACGGCCGCAAGGUUAAAACUUAAAGGAAUUGACGGGACUC
rnacentral:rRNA from 1 species